AUCACAGAGCAAGGAUUAGUUCUUUUAUCUGCUAACUGCAUGGCUGGAGCUUUUCAACUCCCAGUCCUCUCUGUUUCUCUGCUGUCAUCUCUUUGCAAUGGAAGCAAGCGCUGCAGGGUUUCUGUGUAAAAGCUUUCAGCUUAGAGGCUGAUGAGAAACGCUGGAACACUAUGCACGUCAGCAGCAGAACAAAAGGAACCCAAGCCUUCAAGAGAGGAGAAUAUUUUUCCUUUCAAUAUAAUGCAGUACUUAUAAAGCUUCAGCAACAAAGCAUGGGCCAGGAUAACAACAAAAACCAGCCAUGUAUGCAAUCCACAGACUAAUAUUUCAGCUGGGGGUAGCUGGGGAUGUUUAGGGACACAAAACAAACCUCUGCAGUGUCUUUGCACCCUUUUAUGCAAAUGAUGGAGGCAGAACCAAAAAAAGGGGGUGUUGGGCAUUUGUGGGAAGAAAUAGAGAAGGGGAGCCUCUUAUCUCUCUAAAGACUAGCAGACAGCCUAAUUCAAAGCUCGUCCUCCUUAUAGAAGAUGAGGGUGAUGGAAGAGAAACUGAGAAAGAGGCGGUGCUGCUGCUUUGAGCCCACUCAGACCAGCGAACGGGAAGGACGCAGGAACAGAGGUGACACACUGGGAUUUUAAGCAGGAAAAUUACAGCCACGCUGCACCUCAGUCUGUCUGUCCGGGAGGAACAAAUCGAUAUCACUCAACAAGGCUACAUCCAUCCAUGGAGGUCUGGCCGGACACAUCCACUUCGAGGUGGCCGAGCUGCUGCCUGACUCAGCCCGCCUGACACAAACUCAGGGGCCCGAUGAAAACUUAAGUAUUUGAACGAGCUCAGCAGCACAAAGAUGACACGGUUUAAACACAUACAGACUGAGGCUAUAUCAACAAAAAAAAAAAUGAAAUAACUUUUUAAUUUAAAUUUUGCCUUUUUCUGUCAUUUUUUGUGCUAUUUAUCAUGGCAUUAUUUUGUACUUAUUUCCUGAUUACAGGCAAGUACAAAAGUACCUUAUAUCACAAUUUAAGUAUAAAUUGUAAAUGAAACAAAAAUACUCUUCACAGCUUUAAUUACUUUUAAGGAAUAUGUUGCCUGACACAGGCGAGCAUCACUGAGGUGGUAGUGAUUUACAGCGAGGCAAAUAGCAUGUAAAAUAAACCUAAACCAAAGCAGUGACCCAAAAUAUCUGUUUGGGUUCUUCACCCUGCAGCCACAACCUCCCCCUGGCUCACAGUAGACACUGUUGGGCUGAACAGCUGUCAGCUUCCUUUUUGGGCCUCCAGCAGUACAGUCUAUAGUCUCAACACUCUGCUCAGAGGACCAUAGAAAUAAAGAUGACUUCAGGUAGUUUUCCGUGCAUAGAGGUAUUAAGUGAUUUGUACAUAUAUGAGUGUAUUUCUGGAUAAAACAGAAGUAGUGCAUGCACUGUGCAAAAGUCCUAAGCUACCCCUCACUUAUCUAUAUUUUACUCCAAGCAGCCAGACUAUCUUAACAUUUUUAAGAGGGCCUUGAGCUCUUUUAAAGUUUUCUGUCGGCAUUGACUACUUUUUCAUGUAUUUUCAGUCCAGUCUUUGUACCUGACCAGUGGAAAAGUGGCUGUCAAGGAUAAAGUAUGGCAAAUGAUACAAGAACUGCACUGAAAAUCAGUUGUAACAGGUCGAUGGAGGUGAUGAAGAGAUUAUUCCAAAUUUGAAAAUGUUUCUUCAAUACAUAUAUGGAGGAGGUAAGGAGAGACGUGCAACAGUGAGAGUGUAGAGCCAUUUGUUAAACACAGUGGAGGCUCUCUCAUUGUUUGGAGCUGGCUAACAUCUGGUGAUGUUAAAGAUCUUGUCAAAAUUAAUAGAAUUAUGAACACAGAAAAGUACAGUCAGAGAAAUUUAUAACCGAACUAUUACGAAUAUUUUAAUGACACCAGAGAUUGUUGUGGCCAAGUUACUAAAAGGGGCUCUAGUGAGCUUCUGUAUUGGAUCAGUGCAUCACAAACUGAGCAAAAACAACAGAUUUGAAAUAACACUGCAAAACUGAUCACAGCUUUUGUGUUCAGAUGUAUACAUUUAUUGUUAAAAUCAUGUAGAAGUUAAAUAAAAUGACAAAUCAACAUAAAACCCUUAACAAAAGCUGAGUUUUUCUACUUUAAUAUUUUGUGGAACCAACUAUUUCACCCAAAAAAACAGUAACGAUCUUGUGUGUGUUUGAAACAGGAGAAAACACAACUGGACCAGCUCUACAAGUGUUGAGUAAACACAUCCCCACCUCACCCACCCGUGCCCGACCUGUCCAGAGUGUUUCUGCCUCAAUCAAAUACAUGCUGGGAAAACACAGAGUGGAGGAACUAGAUAAAUGUGUUGUACUGCUGCCCUGAAAUGGUUUUCAGUGUUUAUAUCUGAUUCAGUCCAUUCUUCAGUCCUGCUGUAAAUCAAGUCUGUACUCAAA